CCUGCAAUGAUGGGCAGGUAGUCCACUGUAGGGCAGGAGAGUAGAGGGAGAAGAGAGGGAGAGGCAGAUGGGGCAGAGGGGAGGAGGAGAGGGGAGAGAGGGGCAGAGGGGAGUAGGUGAGGAAGAGAGGAGAGGCAGAUGGGACAGAGGGCAGAGGGGAGGAGGUGAGGAAGAGAGGAGAGGGAGAGGCAGAUGGGGCAGAGGGGAGGAGAGGCAGAUGGGAGAGAGGGGCAGAGGGGAGGCAGAUGGGGCAGAGGGGAGGAGAGGCAGAUGGGAGAGAGGGGCAGAGGGGAGUAGGUGAGGGAGAGAGGAGAGGCAGAUGGGGCAGAGGGCAGAGGGGAGGAGGUGAGGAAGAGAGGAGAGGGAGAGGCAGAUGGGGCAGAGGGGGAGGAGAGGCAGAGGGGAGUAGGUGAGGGAGAGAGGAGAGGGAGAGGCAGAUGGGGCAGAGGGGAGGAGAGGCAGAUGGGAGAGAGGGACAGAGGGGAGUAGGUGAGGGAGAGAGGAGAGGCAGAUGGGGCGGAGGGCAGAGGGGAGGAGGAGAGGAAGGGAGGAGAGGCAGAUGGGGCAGAGGGCAGAGGGGAGGAGGAGAGGAAGUGAGGGAGAGAGGAGAGGGAGAGGCAGAUGGGCCAGAUGGGGCAGAGGGGAGGAGAGGAAGGGAGAUGCAGUGAAUUUAGAAAGUAUUCAGAUCCCUUGACUUUUCCGACAUGUUGUUACGUUACAGCCUUAUUCUAAAAUGGAUUCAAUCUGCACACAAUACCCCAUAAUGACAUCACAAUACCCCAUAAUGACAUCACAAUACCCCAUAAUGACAUCACAAUACCCCAUAAUGACAUCACAAUACCCCAUAAUGACAUCACAAUACCCCAUAAUGACA